AGUUUCGGUGGUUUGUUGCUCAUACUACGCUCGUGGAAAAUUGCAUGGGCUUCAAGGAGGCCAGCAGAGCCUAAACCGACAGCUGGGUAGAUAUCUUCACAUUCCAGAUCCAGCAACUGCCGGACAGCGACAAGUGGCUGCUACACCGGAUGCCAUUUCAUCCACAUGCCAGCGGGGAUCUGUUAUCCUGGUCGCCAUCAAGCGUGCCUAGUCGACCGUCCAUGGCACUCGUGUUGUCGUCUCAUCAGCCUGCUCCUGCACAGCUCAACACCUUUUUAAAAGCAGUCUUUGUUGGAGUGCUGGGAUCAUAGCAGCAAUGGUUGCGGAAGCCAGCACAAUACUGGAUAUUAUUCCUGCAUUCUACAGGUCUCAAAAAAAGCUCCUGGCUAGCAGCUGCAGUAAUCAAGUUCUCGUGCCAUGGAUACAAGGCAUCAUAAACCACCUCUACUGGGUGGCUGCAAUUGGACAGGGUGAUGAAGAGCUUGCUGUCAGCAUAUGGAGGGGUUCCUUCAACCACGUGUGUGACGAACACGACAGCCACGAUGGGCCCUACAACAAAUGCCUCAAUGACCAUCUUGAGGGCAGGAAAUGGAUGAGGUCGAGUAAGCAUUACGGUCGUGAGUACAGAUGCCACUACUGUUGCAAGCGCCAUAAGCACAGCAGUAUUGCGGCUUGAGGGAGAGCUGAGCAGCAGUGACUCUGGCAAUUGAACCAGCGCUUGGAAACAUGCAUAAGAUCAGCAUCUGCGUCCUUCGAACCGAAGUCACCCGUUGAGCCACCUGUGCAGACUGUCUCCGACGGUGCAUCCGAGGGUGGGGGCGAGAACAGCAAAUCAUCACCAUCAUCGUAGCGGCAGCGAAGGCAAACAUUUACUGGCACAGUCAACAGGAUGGGUUUGCUGGACAAAGUGGGACAAGCUAAGGAUAGCAAGGCAGCGGCUCUUCUGGUAGAGUUGCAUUCCAAAACCUGGCAGCACUUCCAGUGUCUGCCAUUGACGCAAGCCUUGGAGGAGGAAGCCCAGCAACGAGACAGUGCGAGGCAUCGACUGAGCCCCAGUCCCGACCGAGAGCAACACUGAAACACCUGGACCCUUAACUACCAGGAAUCCAUGCCUGAAAAGUGGCCCUGCAGCAAGUCGCACAGCAUUUGGACAGACAGAGAGCUUCGCUGCCUCCGCUGCAGCCAUCGUCAUCGGCUCGUGGCACCAGUAUCUGAGGAGGGAAACAGCAUCAUGGAGAAACUUGCUGACCUACUGUCACCACCUACGGUCAUCGCACUGGGGCGUCUGCUGCGUCCAGCACUCCAGAGUGGGGGAAGAGCAACACAUCAUCAUCGCAUCAUUUACUGGUGCAGUCGGCAGGGUGGCUUCGUUGGACCAAGCGAGGUGACCUGAAGAAAUCAAGACAGGCACCGCCUCUGGCGAAGACUGAACUUGAAGAAAAUUAGUAGCACCUUCGGUGACCACCAACAGUCAAGACCUGGGGGAGGGACCUGAGCGGCAAGGCGACGAGCCCCUUCCAGCAAGCAGCCAACUGUGAGAUCUUCUGUGACUGACAGUACUGUACUACUUAGCUCACUUGUCUACAGAGCCAUGAGUUCUCUUGUCCUCUUCACCUUUGCCAUUGUUGUGUUUGAGAGGCAGCAAAAAAAGGGAGGGGGGCGGGGGCAAAAGAAACGGGAUGGCGAGUGAGAGUGGAGAUGGUCAAAGCGACGAGAUAGAAUUCCGUUUGUCGUGGGAACAAAUGUAAAAUAACCUCAAGAUGGCUGAAGAGCGCCGCCAAACUCGGGAACUUAACCUGGAACUGGCAAGGCUGCUUGCCGAGGUACCCCCGCAAGGGCAGGCCUCAGGUGGUAGUGACGACGUCAGAAGCGGGUUCCAAUAGCCUUGAUAUGCCAAAUUAUUGUCUGGGGCAUUUCCUAAAUUUCCUGGUGAUGCAGAAGUACCCAUAUGGUUUAAACCACUGGAGAGCACCCUAGAGACUUACAAUCUGCCACAGCGGUUUUGGGGACAGGUCAUUAAGCUAACCGCGGCGCAACAUCACAAUUAUGAGAUCGUGAAGGAGGUAUUGCUCGAAGAGCUAAAAUUGUCGCCUGCAGAAUAUAAACGCAGAUUCCUCAGUGCAUGAAAACGCAAACGGAAACUUGGAAAAGCUUCGCUACCCGACUGCGCAGCUACCUCAAUUUUUAUGUUAACUCCAGAUAUGUGCAUGUCUACGAGGUUCUAGUGGAGCUUUUCGUAGUCGAUCAGCUGAAAACAGGCCUGUCGGGAUAGGCGUUAAAAUAUGUUACCCUGUGUGAGGGGACAACUUGGUCCAGGUCAUCGGAAUUGGCCAGGUUGUUGCAAACUUUGGAUGACGCUGCGGACAAUGCAGGAGCACCUGAUGUGCAACAAAGCGGCGCCAAUCAGUAGGUGCCACCAUGAUCGUUCAGUGGCUGUGGCCACACAAUGGUGGAAUCUGCGGACACUCUGAGUACCCGACUGAAACAGCUGUAUCCGCAACGGACGGAAAGCGCGCCACGAGCGUGCUUUGAAUGCAGCUCCAUGGGACACAUUUGCAUCAACUGCUCUCGUUUGUGUGAUAAACGGCCCUAAAACACAGCCAGUACAAAGUGCGAUGAAAGACUGACAGCCAGGGUAGCUACAGGGCACGGCAACUAGAGCGAGGAGAGCUUAUUGAACAUCACUUUGUGUUGCAAAGGGCAAAGAAAUAGCAGCAAUCGUUGACAGCGGGGCCAAAAUCACCGUCGUUACAGAAAGUGGCGUUCCGGAUGAAUUAGUGCAGUCGCAUGGAAAAAUCAAGUUAAUAGUGUUUGGCGAGAAAGUUGAAGCAAAAUUGGAAGUGCUCCCUUUGGCUGUCAGGCAUGGUCGCCCAUUGCUGUGGGUGUGAGGGGACAGACACCAGUGUUGUGUGCCCUCACAAAUAAAUUGCACUCAUGCCCAGACUGUCUUAUUUCUGCGCAUGUUUAGAACAUUUUGCAUCAACAAAACAAGUAUGCUGAAGGUCCUAGCGUCAUGAAUAAGGCACCUGUGAUAGCACCAAAGCUGGUGAAAGCAGUAGAAGCUGAAGAGCAGGCCGCAAUCCUUGAAUUACUUGAGAUCGCAGAAAGCUGACAGGAGAUGGCAGCGACAUUUGAAGGAGUUGGCUUCAACGCCAGCGACACCGCCAACCUUGCAAACAGUGAUUCCAAGUCGUUGAAAAAAGAGCAGGAAAACAAUGACUCUCAAGUGGGCGUGGCAGGACGCACUUGCCUACCUUCUAAAGCAGUGUUAGAAUUAAAGACGAAAAAUCUCAAACAUCCUAAAUGGCAUUAGGUAGACGAGAGAACCACAUGCAAAGUGACUUUUCUGUGAGUUUGACCAAAAUGACAAGACUAAGGGAGAAAUAACUCUUUGCAUCUAUGUAAGUGUGUGGCAUUGUCUGUGAUUAUUCUACUGGUUGUAGUUAUUUUGGUUCUAUGCGUGGCAUGUGCUUUGUGUACUUCUUGGAUGUGCACGAAUGAAGUGUGGCACGACCUAUAUCGCGAAGCUACUGUUCUUUUUCUGACAGGAUGUUCGAUAUGUCGUUGAAUUUUUCUUUGGUAUUGGUGUCUGUGUCGACAACACUGUGAACGAGUGGUUAUCGCGUCUUGGGUGGGUGGUGUAAGCCCAUCGCUUCAAAUGGUAGUAAAACAAACUGAAAAACUCGGCACGGGCCAUCCGAGCCGGGGGCUUUCAUCUUGGCGAGCUCGUUGCGCACCGAGCCACUUGAGUAAUGGCCGUCAACGGCACACACGAAGCAUCUUCCACGCAAGUAGAAUAAACACGCAGCUGGCACUGCUAGGUACCGCAGAGCUCGGGGAGUGGAGGAAACCACCGGCGCCACUUAGCAAUCGCACUUGACAGUGAUGAGGGGCCUCAAACCUCCUUCUGCGGUGCACUUUCCUGGCACCACCGCAGGCAUUCUUCUCGCGCACGGCAAGCGGGUGGGUAGGAACAAAUUCAGAACUUGAGGUUCCGCCGAUUAGUUAAAUGGGUAGCCUCUCCUAACGGGUGACAAACGAACCUGUUCCACGUGUGACUUCCCUACCGGUGCUCUGGCAUGUAGCAUUAGAAUGUGCAUGGUUCGGGUUCGACACAGGCUGUUUGAAUCGAGUGAUGCAGGCAGAUGCGCUACCACCGUUGCAUUUUAUGGAUGCACCAUGUGCCCCGGGCUGGCAUGUGGUUUCUUAGAGCCACUUGAAAAACGGUUGGUUUUGACUCAGAUUGGAAGCGUCUCCGGGAAUGUUUUCUUCAGCGUACAGUCCAGACACAGGGUCGACAUUUAGAUAAAGAACCCGUGCACCUCACUGACAGGUUUACUCGCAGUCUGUGUCUGCUUAUGGCACUGCAUGACCUUCAGCUCCAUAGAAUUCUGAUGCGCUGCAUGACUGGCACCGUAAUUCUGAUGUUUUCCCGCGUCUACAAAUUUUCACUUGUGUUUAGCCUGCCAGCAUUUUAUUACACCAGCUGCACUUGCAUACCGUUUCUUGGAACUCCUGACAAAUUUGGGUAGCGGGACCCUUGCCGCUCCGUUGUUGUGUAUUGUGUUUAGAGUGAGGGUUCUACACUGGGGUGAACUCUUUUAAAAAAUUGUUCUUAGAUGGUUUGUUAGUCGACUGACUGACCAAUCACGCAAUAAAGUUUAACAAACCUAAUUAUUGGUGAACUGAGUUACCAGUCACAAAGCAACCCAACAAUGAUUGAUCAGUAAGCAUUCGGGGGCGGAGCGUUGGGUCUAGAAAAUGCAGCUCAAGCAUUCUAACCGUCGUCGUGGACCUGACUUCGGGUGCUAAGCACCAUCGGCUCUGCCGAGACAGGGUUUCCUUAUGUUGUCCAAACCAAUGUAACUGUUUGUAACCGAUGUAACAUUGCAACCAUGUAACCUCGGAACCAAGCAUUGUGAAGUCCUUGUAAAUAAAAGUUUUCUUCAUCCAUACACCAGCGUCUGCAUCCUUUGAGCCGGGGUCACCGAUUAACCCACCUGUGCAGACCCUCUCCGACAGUGCGUCUUGGACACCAAGAGAGGGGGAAGAACAAUGCAUCAUCACAUCAUUUACUAAAUAUAUA